rnacentral:rRNA from 1 species
UACGAAGGGGGCUAGCGUUGCUCGGAAUCACUGGGCGUAAAGGGCGCGUAGGCGGCUUAUCAAGUCGGGGGGGAAAGCCCGUGGCUCAACCACGGAAUGGCCUUCGAUACUGGUAGGCUUGAGACCGGAAGAGGACAGCGGAACUGCGAGUGUAGAGGUGAAAUUCGUAGAUAUUCGCAAGAACACCAGUGGCGAAGGCGGCUGUCUGGUCCGGUUCUGACGCUGAGGCGCGAAAGCGUGGGGAGCAAACAGG